AUUUAUAUAGCUUAAUAAGAGCUUAAUAUUGAAGUUAUUAUGGUGGAGUAUUAAUUCCUAUAAAUA
rnacentral:tRNA from 1 species